UGGACGUGGACAAGGCCUACAAUCCGCUCGACGAAAUGUGGGAGAAGGAGAUUUCUCCCGAUGUGAUCACUUACACAAGCUUAAUUGGUGGGCUGGGGUUGAUUGGCCAACCCGACAAGGCAAAAAACUUGUUGAACGAGAUGCAUGAGCUAGGGUGCUACCGAGCUGUGGAAUGAUAUGGUCAGCAACGGGAGAAUUCUUAGCACGAAGUGCAAAAUGGAGGAUUAGUCUUUGCAUUUAUUGUGAAUAUGUAUAUUUGCUGCCCAUGGUUGUACCGCAACAUCCAGGGAAGGGCCAUCCCUUGCGAUUUUAUUGGCGUAGUAAAAAGUCAGCAGCCUGUUUAUUUGAAAGGGGAAACUGUGACUAAUUAUGAUGAAUUGAAGUCCAAUUUCUUUGCCCAGCCUGGCACUUGCUUAUGGAAAGAUCCCUGAACAAUUGCACAGCGAGGAAGUUCCGGAAAAUCUUAUCCAUCAUAAGACUUUUUAGGACAACCGACCAUCACUAAGUUUUUUGCUUCCUACAUUAUCUGCAUAUGAGAUUGGACAGCUUUUAGCCAUCUAUGAGAACCGGAUUGCAGCUCAGGGUUUUAUAUGGGGUUAACUCAUUUGAUCAGUGGGGAGUGGAGCUAGGCAAGUCACUGGGAUGUUCCAGUCACUGGCUUCUCAAGUGAGGAAACAGCUGCAUGGAUCCCGGAUGGAAGUGAAGCCUGUUGAGGGCUUUAAUCAGAGUACUUCAAGUUUGCUAGCGCGAUACCUCGCUGUCAAGCCAUCCACCCCAUAUGACGCUACCGUAUAGCCGAAAGUGUAACAUGAGAUGAUUGGCAUGCUAAGGUCUUCGUUGACAAAGUUGGGCUUAAUUCUUUGUUCCUUUUGGGAGUUGUCACAACCAGUUUGGCAUUGCUGUAAUUUUGAGGUUUUAUGUACUCCUACUCCUAGAGGAUCAAACUUACAACCUGUUGCCGCUGGCAAGUGCAGCCCCAUCCGAACCUGUGUUCUUUCCUA